rnacentral:rRNA from 1 species
UACGUAGGUGGCAAGCGUUGUCCGGAUUUACUGGGCGUAAAGAGCGCGCAGGCGGUCGAUUAAGUCGAGUGUGAAAGCCCCCGGCUCAACUGGGGAGGGUCACUUGAUACUGGUCGACUCGAAGGCAGGAGAGGGAAGUGGAAUUCCCGGUGUAGUGGUGAAAUGCGUAGAUAUCGGGAGGAACACCAGUGGCGAAGGCGGCCAUCUGGACCGCAACUGACGCUGAGGCGCGAAAGCGUGGGGAGCAAACAGG